AGAGAGAGACAUGCGUGCAUAUCAAUAAGCGGAGGAAAAGAAACUAACUAAGGAUUCCCUCAGUAACGGCGAGUGAAGCGGGAAGAGCUCAAAUUUGAAAUCUUCAAGGUUCUACCUUGACGAAUUGUAGUUUAAAGAAGUGUUUUCUGUUGGAGUUUUGGUAAAAGUUCUUUGGAAUAGGACAUCAUAGAGGGUGGAGAAUCCCGUAUUUGACCAUUAUUUCCAGCUUUGUGAUACACUCUCAAAGAGUCGGAUUGUUUGGGAAUGCAGUCCAAAAUGGGUGGUAAAUUUCAUCUAAAGCUAAAUAUUGGCGAGAGGCCGAUAGCGAACAAGUACCGUGAGGGAAAGAUGAAAAGAACUUUGAAAAGAGAGUUAAACAGUACGUGAAAUUGUCAAAAGGGAAGCGUUUGACACCAGUGUUGUUUUCUCGAAAAUCAAUUAAAAAAGGCAGGAUUUUGUGUUGUAUUGACUUUAUCAGCUUUCUGCACUCUUUUCUUGUCUUUUUUAAUGCACUUUUCGUUUAACAAGUCAACAUCAAUUUCUUUUGUUGUAAAAGGGUCAUUGGAAGGUGGCUUUCUUUUCGGAGAAAGUGUUUAUAGCCUUUGGCCUCUGCAAUCGGAGAGAUUGAGGUCUGCAGCGUAGAUCCUUCGGGGUUAGAUACAUUUGUGCUAAGUUAUAGCCUUUCAUAGACAACUUGUUGACUAUGAUCAGUCAUGUAGCUUACUCGCUUAUGCUAUUUUACCUACGCUUAGGAUGUUGAUGUGAUACUGCGAGCA
rnacentral:rRNA from 1 species